rnacentral:rRNA from 1 species
GACGAACGCUGGCGGCGUGCUUAACACAUGCAAGUCGAACGGAAAGGCCCUGCUUUUGUGGGGUGCUCGAGUGGCGAACGGGUGAGUAACACGUGAGUAACCUGCCCUUGACUUUGGGAUAACUUCAGGAAACUGGGGCUAAUACCGGAUAGGAGCUCCUGCUGCAUGGUGGGGGUUGGAAAGUUUCGGCGGUUGGGGAUGGACUCGCGGCUUAUCAGCUUGUUGGUGGGGUAGUGGCUUACCAAGGCUUUGACGGGUAGCCGGCCGGAGAGGGUGACCGGCCACAUUGGGACUGAGAUACGGCCCAGACUCCUACGGGAGGCAGCAGUGGGGAAUAUUGCACAAUGGGCGGAAGCCUGAUGCAGCAACGCCGCGUGCGGGAUGACGGCCUUCGGGUUGUAAACCGUUUUCGCCUGUGACGAAGCGUGAGUGACGGUAAUGGGUAAAGAAGCACCGGCUAACUACGUG